GAUGAACGCUGGCGGCGUGCCUAAUACAUGCAAGUCGAGCGAACGGACGAGAAGCUUGCUUUUCUGAUGUUAGCGGCGGACGGGUGAGUAACACGUGGAUAACCUACCUAUAAGACUGGGAUAACUUCGGGAAACCGGAGCUAAUACCGGCUAAUAUUUUGAACCGCAUGGUUCAAAAGUGAAAGACGGUCUUGCUGUCACUUAUAGAUGGAUCCGCGCUGCAUUAGCUAGUUGGUAAGGUAACGGCUUACCAAGGCAACGAUGCAUAGCCGACCUGAGAGGGUGAUCGGCCACUCUGGAACUGAGACACGGUCCAGACUCCUACGGGAGGCAGCAGUAGGGGCCCUUCCGCACUGGGCGAAAUCCUGACGGAUCAACGCCGAGUGAGUGAUGCAGGUCUUCGCAUCGUAACACUCUGUUAUUAGGGCAGACAAUAUGUGUAAGUAACUAUGCACGUCUUGACGGUCGCUAAUCAGAAAGCCACGACUCACUACGUG
rnacentral:rRNA from 1 species